CUGAUGUGCGGACCUUCACUCAGCCUCACUCCGUCACUGGCAGUGUGCUUUUCAGGGACUGUCAGGAAGAGCCCGUGAACUCCUAGGACCCCUGGCCUUGGGGAGGCUGUUUGGAGCAGAAGGUUAGUAACAUCUGAAAGUUUGGAAGCUCCAUUAUGGAACAUUCGCUUGGUCACAUCGACCUUGUAGGUCCUUCCCAUAGCCUCCAGCCACAAAACUAGUUACUCAUUGGUGGGAAAUUCUUGGUGGGACUAGAAAUGAAGUUUUGCCUCUCUUGUGCUGCUGGAGUCCUCUUUCUAUCCAAGAGUAUGGGCUCUGGCUUCUGUGGGUUUUUUAUUUGCUUGUUUGGUUUUUUUCUUUGUUUGUUUUCUGCCAUUUCUACUGUUUAAUCAGAAAUUCUUUUUAAGCAUUUAUUAAUAGCAUCAUUUAGUUUCUAAUGGAGUCUCUUAUACUAUUGCUGCCUCCUCCAUAUUUUCAUGCAUGCCAGUCCGACUUUUUUUUAGCAGCUUUAUUGAGAUAUAAUUGAUAUUUUUAAAACUGCACAUAUUCAAUGUAUACAGUUUUGUGGGUUUCAACAUACAUGCACACUUGUGAAACCAUGACCACAGUCAAGAUAAUAAGCAUUUCUAUCACCACCAAAAGUUUUUUUCCUGUAAGGGCUCUGGUGGAGGAAAGCUUUUAUGGCAACAACAACAACAACAGCAACAGCAACAGCAGCAAUAAUAAUAAUAAUAAUAAUAAUAUUUAUUGUGUACUAGCUUGGGACCAGUGAGUGAGUGUUAUAUACUAUUAUUAGCCUCAUUUUCCUGAUAAAAAAAAUCUGAAGCUUAGGCAGGGCAAGGCGUCUUUCUAGAGCCACUAGCUACAAAAUAACAAAGGAAAGAAGAUCUGAACCCAGGUCAUCUUCCCUUUAAUAAUUAUUCUACAUAAAAUUGCCCUGUUCUUCUGACCUUGCCUUUGAUACUGAGUAUGAACACACCAACUAGGAAGAAUUCUCCUACACAAGCUCCUGGACAUUUUAAGAGGGAGAGAGAGUAUAAUUUUUUCCUAAGUAAUCAUUUUUAUACCCCUCACCUCAUGAUUCAUUGAAGAAAGGGUACAAAAUUCAGCAAAUUACCAGAAAGAACCAAUGAAAGAAAGAACAAAAGCAAGCAAGCAAGCAAGCAAGCAAGAAAAAUGUCAACACUAGACUACUACUAAUAUUUUGAGAUUUUUUUCCUGUGGUAUUUCUCUAAGGCAUAAUGUUGAAGCACAAAGACCCAAGGAAAAAUGUAAGAACUUGAACCUUUACUUGAAACUCAAGUAGCUUCUCUACCCUGGCGGAGCGAGUAUAGCUUGUUUAGGAAUUCCAAUGGAGGCAAAGGUCCAUAGGUUAUAGGACUAAGAUUAGAAGACGUGUGUGAAAUAGAAAAACAAUGAGGUCUCUGGAUUUAGAAGUUCUGCAAGCUGGUUUCAUCUGGCUCAGGACCGUGGGCGGUUGCAGGUGCUGAAAGACACGUGUGACUCUGGAAUGCAGGUGCUGGACCUAGAGUGUGCUUCAGUCUCAGAGUCUCUUCCUAGGAUCUUCACUGUCUGACAGUUCUGAUUAAGUCACUUAGGGAAAGCCAGUGGAUACAGUUGCGGUUCUGUCAGUGACAGAGGGAAUCAUAAUUCAGAGAAAGUUUGAAAGAGUACAGUUAGAAAGACAAGAGUCAAGAUAGGAUAGAACGUCAUGACCUACUUGAUGAUACGUCAUUGGCAUCCAGCCCUUUAACAAUUGUCAUUAGCAACAUGGUGUGGCGGUAGAUGGAGAUAAGGACUAGUAGGAUUGGCUGGUUUUUUGUUAUGUAUUUUGCUCAAUAUCUCUUCUUUUACACUCCGGUGUAGACCUUUUUAUUUUUAUUUUACUUUAAUUUUUUUAACAUUUAUUCAUUUAAAAAAAUUUUUUUUUCAACGUUUAUUUAUUUUUGGGACAGAGAGAGGCAGAGCAUGAACGGGGAGGGGCAGAGAGAGAGGGAGACACAGAAUCGGAAACAGGCUCCAGGCUCUGAGCCAUCAGCCCAGAGCCUGACGCGGGGCUCGAACUCACGGACUGCGAGAUCGUGACCUGUCUGAAGUCGGACGCUUAACUGACUGCGCCACCCAGGCGCCCCAAACAUUUAUUCAUUUUUAAGAGACAGAGCACAAGCAGGAGUGGGGCAGAGAGAGAGAGGGAGACACAGAAUCCGAAGCAGGCUCCAGGCUCCAAGCUGUUGGCACAGAGCCCGACGCGGGGCUCGAACUCAUGAACCUCGAGAUCAUGACCUGAGCUGAAGUUGGACGCUUAACCGACCAAGCCCCCAGGUGCCCCUGGUGUAGACCUUUUUAGACAGAUAAUUUUGACAUCUGAUUAUCUUCUACAAUUUGUGUUAAGACUUUCUUGUGAAAGAACAAUCUGUUUCUUAAUUUUUCUGCAAAUAUAAAUUUAAUUUCACCUAAAAACAAUUCUUCUGAGGUCUUUUGUUUCUACCACUAUCAUAAAAUUUGUGCAAGAUUCCAAGAAAGCAUGCAGCUUUAUUCUAACCUCAGAAGAUGUAUUAAGGAUGCAAGACAAAGAAACAUAGAACAAAUAAUAAUAGAAGGUGUUAUAGGUCUCAAAAUUAUAAGGGAUGGUUGUGUUGGAGAUAAGAGACACCCAUUCCUUAGGACAUUCCAUUUGAUGGCCCAUGGUAUAUGGAUUUCAAACUGUAGGUCUCAAGUUUUUAGUGGGUUGCAAAAAUUAAUUAAGUUGAUUAUGUCCACCAUUUACAAACUACAGUAGAAAAUAUCAAAGUGCACUACGUGUCAGAAGGUUGUGCAUGUCAUGGACUUAUUUUUCAUUUAUAAACAAACACACACAUGCACAAGUGUAUGUGAUGGGUUUCUUUAUAAUAUGUAUUCCUUCUCAUGGAUUCAAUCAAGCAAGUUUCAAAGAUGCUCCAUUAGCCAAAGUAAUCCACAAACUAGAUCUUUGUAGCUAUCAUGUAUCAAAAGCCUAAAAAUUUCCAGGGCCAUUAGUAAUAAUGCUUAAAAAAACUUCUCAGGAAAUCACAAUAACAACACUCCUAGGGCAUGAGUCAGCCAGAGGACCGUCUUCAUAACAGCUAGCAUUUCUUGAGCACUGCUCAUGUGUUGGGCAUUGUGCUAAAUAUUUUUCAUACAGUAUCUAAUUUACUUCUCAUAGCAAUGCUAUGAGGAGGCUAUUGUUCUUAUUUUUCAGAUGAUAAGCUGAGGUUUCAAGAUGUAGAGUAACUUGGUCCUCGUCACUCAGCUAGUAGAACUCAAUCCCAUGCCUGUCUGCCUCCUCCGGAGACAAGGCAUUUCACUACCAUACUACAUUAUUUUUCAAGAACGAAUCCCUCGUGGAAAGCUAUACGAUUUGCAAAACUUCUUUUUGCUGUCUGACUCUUUUGCAAUGUUUUUCAGUUAGCGCUAGGAUAACUCAACCCCUUUUGAUCCUUACAGAAGGCUCCUAAAGGGCGUUUCUAUGGUUAUGGGUGUGUAGGGUGGGGUGCUGUUGGGGGACGUUGAUUCCCACUCUGAUUCUACACAACCUGUUCCGUCCUUGUACAGACUCUGUCCUAACAGGCCCAAAGUCUCAGAUUGUAAGGUAAGCCCUAGAAGGGAUGGGAAGGGAUGUGAAGUUGGGCAGCAUGUCGAGUGGGAGGCUGAAAAGAGGAGACACACUGGCGAUAAAGAUGGUGAGAGCUGGGGUGCCUGGGUGGCUCAGUCAGUUAAACAUCCCACUCUUGGUUUUGGCUCAGGUCGUGAUCUCACAGUUCAUGAGUUCAGGCCCUUAGUCGGGCUCUGUGCUGACAUCACGGAUCCUGCCUGGGAUUCUCUCUCUCCCUCUCUCUCUCUCUGUCCCUCCCAUGAGCACUUUCUCUCUCAAAAUAAAUAAACUUAAAAUAAAAAAAAAAAGAUGGUGACAGCUGUGGGCCAGCAAGAUGAGAACCCUCUUCCAUCUCCUCUUUGGAAUCUUCAGGAACAUCGUCAACCUAAUGCAUUGUAAGGUUGAGUCUUUAUUUGAGUAUAUAAAGAAGCAAAUUAGUACAGUGUGAACACAGGUCUCCUCACCAUGAGACAGUCAGUAUGUAUUCUCUUCCUUUUCUCCCUUUCCCUUUUUUCCUUCCUCCUUCCCCUGCCCUCCUUCUGUCCCCUCCCUCCUCUCUCUCUCCCUCUCUCACUCAUUUACUCACAUGCAUUGUAUAUAUUUAUGGACAAAUUUUCCUUGUAUAGAUAUGUAAUAUAUGACAAAACAUACCAAAAUCUUAACAGUUUUUACUUCUUCAUGGUAGGAUUACCAAUCCUUUUUAUUUUUAAUUUUUAAUAUUUUUUGUAUUUUUUAAACUUGUGUGAGGAUCAUUAAUUUUGUCUCCAGAAAAAAAUGAAAGUAAAUAGCUCUUUAUCAGUCAUUUCAUCUUAGACUGUUUUUUUUUAAGUUUAUUUAUUUAUUUUGAGAGAGAGUGAGCAAGUGAGCACGUGAGCUGGGGAGAGGCAGAGAGAGAGGUAGAGAGAGAGUCCCAAGCAGGAUCCAAGCUUUCAGCACAGAGCCCGAUGCAGGGCUUAAUCUCAGGAACCCCGAGAUCACGACCUGAUCUCACAAACCGUGAGGUCAUGACAUGAGCCGAGAUCAAGAGUCAGGUGUUGACUCUUAACUGACUUAACUCUCUUAACUGACUGAGCCAUCCAGACACCCCAUCGUUUUAGAGUUUUAGAGGGAGAAGAAAGGGAGAAAGACUUGUGAGGGCACCCGGUAUUUGAAAGGAGCUAAAUGGGGGUGCUAGAAGGAAAACCAGAGGUCCCAAAUCUUCCCAUAUUUCACUGUCACUGAGGGAUGAUUGGUUAAGGGCAUUAGAAAAGCAUAAAUAUAGCAUCUAUUUCCUCUCUGAAAUCCCUGGAGGGAAAGGCGUGGGUGUAGGAGUGCGGGGUUGAUGAGGCAGUUUGGUUUCCCACGUUCUGUGCUCCCACAGAGCAAAGAGAUUACUUUAAACAUGAGAAGGUGGGGAAACGGAUAUUGAACACGGGCUUCUGCAUUUUUGCUUUACCUUCCUUUAAAAUACUAUUAUCAUAUUUCAAUGUCCCCCUGCCUGUGCUGGUUUCAGACAGUCUGAUUUCUCUAAAUCUCAAAUUGCCAUUUUAUAGAGGGUUUGUUUCAUGUAUGUUUUUUUUAUUUUAUUUAUAUUCUUAUUUUUUUAGCAGUGGUGAAAAUAUUAAAUGAAGAGAAAUGAGGAGAGAAAGAGAGAAUAGACAAAAGGUCUGAGGUCCUUCAUCCAGGGCAAGGAAUAUUUAGGAAGUGCUUACUUGACACUAUUCAGGGUAGCAGCAGAUCAAAGAAUAAGGUGGAAACCCUAUCCCUCAGGGGCACUGUCUAAUACAGCGUGUAUUGGGGUGCCUGGGUGGCUCCUUCGGUCAAGCGUCUGACUUCGGCUCGGGUCAUGAUCUCAUGGUUCGUGGGUUCGGGCCCCACAUCGGGCUCUAUGCUGACAGCUCAGAGCCUGGAGCCUGUUUCGGAUUCUGUGUCUCCCUCUCUCUCUGCCCCUCUCCCACUUGCUCUCUGUCUCUCUCAGUCUUUCAAAAAUAAAUAAAUGUUAAUACAGUGUGUAUUGUUCCAGCAGCACUUACAAUCACCUGGGGGGCUUUCGAUAAACACUGAUGCCAGAACCCCACCCAGACCAUUUGACCAGAAUCUUCAGGAGUAGGGUCAGAGCAACAGUAUUUUUUUAUUAUGCUUUUUAUUUCAAUUCCAGUAUAGUUAUCAUACAGUAUUAGAGUAGUUCCAGGUAUAUAAUACAGCGAUCAACAAUUUUAUACAUUACUUAGUGCUCAUCAUGAUAAGUGUGCUCUUAACCCCCACCACCUAUUUCACUCAUCGCCUCCCCCCGCCCCCACCUCCCCUCUGGCAAUCACUAGUUUGUUCUCUAUAGCCAAGAGUCCCUGGUGAGUCAUGACCGAGGAGGAAGAGAUCAAUUUUGGCUUGGGAGGGGAUGGAUGUCUCCUAAACGGAUCCCAGAAGAAGGAACACUUAAGCUGAAUCUGGAAGGAUUAGCAGUUCACCAGAUCAGACAAAGGGAGUGGGGUGCCAAACAAUCAGCCUGGGGAUGGCGUGCAAAAAAAAUCAGCCCGGAGGACUGAAAUGCCAGAGUAAACCCUGGAACUGCGAAGGGAAAGGCAGGCAGUGUCCUAGUUCGCUAAGGCUGCCCUAACAAAAUACUGCACAUUGAGUGACCUAAACAGACAGAAAUGUAUUGUUUCCUAUGCACUGGGCACGCAGCGUGGAGCUUGCAGCAUAGUGAUUUGUUCUGGUGCUACAGGCCGAAGAUAAGACUUUACACAUAGACAAGGAGCCCGGAAGAGACACGGCGACCGGAGGAUACGCCAGGCGGGAACGGGAAAGGGGGAGGGGCUUAGAAAGUAACACAGAGGUGGAACUGGGAGGAUGCUGGGUGUUUUUCAAACAGAAAUGGGGAUGUCCAUCUGUCAGGGGGGAAGAGUGAGUUCAGUUUCAGGUUUGCUGAGAAUGAGGUGAUAGAGGACGUCCUGUGGAGACCCCUGCAGACCCCGAGAGACACAAGCCUACAGCCUGAGGUGAGUUGGGGCUGGAGACCUGGAGAAAACGCCCACCACGGGGAAGCAGAGAAUCGAGACUCCGAGCCGUUCCUGGUCCAGAGGCAGCAGCAACGAUCGCAAAAAGGACAACAGGGAGCUCCUCCAUUUCACUCUCCUGGUACAUUAAUCCUCUCCUGUCCCGCCAGUGCACAGCCUCUAGUUCUGGAGGCCAAAGAGAAAUGGUGUCUUGGCUGCUUCUGGGCCAGCUAGGAAGGCUGUGACCACUAAGGCGCUGAGUCUCUCAAAGGCCACCACGGGCUGUGUGAAAGUGUUGGAAACCAGUAUCCCUGGGCCGGCGGGUAUGUUGUCCUUGAAAGACUGGAAAUUUGAGCCGCCAUCAAAAGCAUGGCCAUUUAGUUUACCUUAACAUGCAUUUCAAUAUUCUGCUGGGCCACUAAGAAGAGAAAAAUAAGGCCUCUGGGGGUAUUGGGGACCCGCCUGAGUACAGAAUGACUUCCUUGGGAGUUCCCUAUAAAAGUUGGCUUACCACUGCUCCCUUCCUUUCCACAGGCAGAUCUAGGCUAAAGCCUGUGUCCCGCAAUUUGGGCCAUUAGGCCGGGAAAGCUCCUCGAAUGACACAUGGAAAGAGUACUGGAUGAGCAGUUAGGAGACCCCAGUUCUAAUCCCGGUCAGCUUCCGGGACACUCAGCAAAUCACUUUGCAGACGCCGAGAAGAAACAGACCCUGUGUCUAUUUCUUCAUCUCUGAAAUGAGAGAGGCAGACUAUAUUCUCUCUGAAGUUCUUUAAAGCUCCAAAAUUCCUUGAAUUGUGUGUCGUAACUGGAGCGCGGACUGAGGAUAUACCUGAAGCGGGCAGGUCAGUCUGAAACCGGUGGUUUUGUGAGGACGGACAGGUGACUUGAUUCUCUUCUUGCUGUUUUGCCUUCUUUGGCCCCAACACCGGUUUCCUUUCCUGUUGUCCUCUGUCACCUGAUGUUUCCUCAGAGAACUAGAAUUCUCUGAGAAUCCUCAGAGAACUAUAAUUUAACAAAAAUUGCUAAAUGCGAGCAGUUGGGACUCGAUUGACUUCUCGGCGAUUCAACCACACAGUUGCUCUAAGAAUAUAUUUGCCCUUUCUCAGCCACUGUGGUACCACAGACAAACUUCUCCCGUGGCAGCGGGCCCCAGUUGCCAAGUCAUGCAGGUAACAGGCAGGCUGUUUCCCUGGUCAUGGGGGUUUUUCUGCUGUGCUAUGAAAGGAAGGCAUUGUCAGCUUUAUUAUUAUUUUCGAAUGAAAAUGUUUUGAAUCAUUUGUUUGAUGACUUCCUCCCUAGAAUGGGGUGGAGUUGUGACUAAGUUCAGGGAGGGCCUUCCAGGGCAGAUGAAGCCUGCUGGUACUUAUGGGAGGACACUUUUUCUUGAACAGUAAAUACCUCGCCUGACUAAUUCCAGGCAACCACGGGACAGUCAUUCCAUGUUCCACUGCUUGAAUUUUGGUUCUUGAGAUACAAACACGAGACCAGAGAAUACUAGACCCACGUUUCAUAGAGGGUAAAUACAUGCCUCUGGUAUCUGAAGGAAGAUACUGGGUAUCUGCUAACCUCUGUUUUUCCACAUGGUUUCCUUCCUAAUACUUCCAAUUUCCCCAACAUAUAAUGCAGAGUAGUAUCUAAUGCUAGAGACUGGUGUUGGGCUGAGUUAGGAUGCUUUGGGGCACAGAUACUUCCAAAGAGCAGAAGCAAUACUAUAUUUUACAAAUCCUGAAUUCCAUUUCUCCUAUUUUUAAAAAAAUUUUAAUGUUCAUUUUUGAGAGAGAGAGAGAGAGAGACAGAGGGAGAGCAGGGGAGGGACAGAGAGGGAGACACAGAAUCCGAAGCAGGCUCCAGGCUCUGAGCUGUCAGCACAGUGCCUGACUCAGGGCUUGAACCCACUAAUUGCAAGAUCAUGACCUGAACUGAAGUUGGACACUCAACCGACGGAGCCACCCAGGCACUCCUCUCUAUUUGUUUUUAUUUUUAUUUUUUAGGUGAAGUAAGAAAUCUUUUAUCUUAUCUUAUCUUAUCUUAUCUUAUCUUAUCUUAUCAUCUUAUCUGCCGCAAUAUUCCAACAAAAACCAAGCUAUUGAAGAGAUUAGGCAUAGUUUUGAAUCCAUGGACAAGAUACCUUAAACAGGUAUAAAAUUGCAGGAGGACCAUAGGGAAAUGAACUUUCCGAAUUCUGAAGUUAUAGAAGGAAAUUGGAGAACGCAUAGCAUCCACCACCACCACCCCCCCCCCCCCCCCGCCGCCCCCUGUCCACCCCCCACCUUGUUCCUCAGUCCGGGGUUCCAGGUAAAUUUAGGAAGCCAUGUUAGGUGUAGGGAUUACAAGGCCAGCUGAUUCUGUAACUCCCUUUGGAAGGACGUUUCAAGUAACCUUCAUAGUCAUUUUCUUUCUUUCUCCAUUCUGUCUCCUUUUCUCUAAUUAGGUUGCAUACGCUCCGAAAUGUAACAAAUGUUUGAGAAGCAAGAUCUAAUCAUUCAUCAGACUUAUUUUCUAAGUUAAAUGGCACAAAUUUCUUAAUCUUUGCUUCGAAUCUUUAAAAAAUAUUUUUAGACAUCUGAUGAAUUGUCGGUUUAUUGCUAAUUCCUAGAACUUUCUCAUUUCAUAACAACUCUCAAAUUGUGAAGAUUCCUCUCAGAUCAGCUCCUGCAUAAUUCCGAGCAGAAAUACACACGUGCAUAAAAGCCCCAAGUGACCCCUCACCUGCCCAGAGAGCUCUUUAUGGGGACAAUUUCAUAGGAACAAGCAUUCUGACAAGAGCCAGCCAGAAUCAGCAAAGGAGGGGACAGAAAAGCUGUAAAGAGCAAACAACAGACUGACCAAAUGCAUUGGGCUGGGGCCAGUUAUAAAAAGACCAAGUAGUGCUAUACAUUUCUUGGCUGCUAGGCAUUCAGUGGGUUUUAAACACCUUAAAAUCAAUAAUUGAUUUUCACCAUAAUGACCAUGGUCAUUUAGAAAAGAUGCUGUUCACAAAGGGUAUGAACCAUAUCAUCCAUUUAAAGGGUUGGAGAAGUGUGUUUCUUACUCUAGAAUGCUCUCCAACUGGGACGCCUGGGGGGCUCAGUCAGUUGAGCCUCUGACUUCAGCUCAGUUGAUGAUCUUGCGGUCCGUGAGUUCGAGCCCCGCAUCAGGCUCUCUGCUGAUAGCUCAGAGCCUGGAGCCUGCUUCGGAUUCUGUGUCUCCCUCUCUCUCUGCCCCUCCCCCACUCAUACUCUGUGUCUCUCAAAAAUAAAUACAUGUUAAAAUUUUUUUUUAAAAAGGAAAGGUUUAGAACGCUCUCUAACCAAGUUUAUUCAAGCCAAUUUAGUCUUGGCAUGAAAAGUGGUCAAUUAGUUAGCAGUUUUGCUGAUGUGUAUUGUUAGAAAAAGAUAAGCCAAGAGAUUUGUUGUUGUUGUUGUUGUUAGCAAUGCAAAAAGAAAGGGACAGUGGUGGGGAAAAAAAAGGAGGGACAAGUCCCCCUGGGCAAUUGGGAAUAGGUAGAGGACUGGGUAGAACUAGGUAGGGUGUAGGAAGGACGCGCCUGACUCUGGGCUUUUAUUCUGCUCAGAAAUUUAUUUUGAACACUCGAAUUGAAAAUGUACAGCAACCUCUGGGUUUAAAAUGUUACCACGAGUCCUCUGGAGGUUGUAAUAGUGUAGAGCAGGGGAAAGUAAAAAAAAAGUUUCACCUCAAAAGUACCUCCCCAUAUGGCCAGUAACUUCCUGGCUUUUAGCAUAAGCCACCCCGUCUAGCGGACUGCACAUCAAGCUUCCAAGGACGGACGGGGAAAAAUUCCAGGAAAGCCACUAGUGUGAAAUUAUACCUAUAUGCACCAAGUGACUUAACUCCGAUGAUGAAUUCACCUUUCUCUAUCAAGAUCACUUGUUUACUUGGAUCUUUAUCAAAUGUGGAGCUUAGGUCACAUCCUCCUUGAGGUCACCAACUUGAACUCAUCUCAGCCCUGCAAAGCUCUGCAAACGUUCUCAGUAAAUGAUUCACCCAACAUUCACGUAACACAUCCUCACCGAGGGCCAACGACGUGCCAGGCAGUGUUCUAGGCCUGAAAGAAAUAGACCAAAAUUUCCACCCUAAUGGACAUCACCUUUCUAGAGGCUAUAUAUAGUUUCUGUAUGUGCUGUAUUUUCUGGUUUCUAACCAAAAUGAAAUCAAAGAGAAUGAAAUGUGAAGCAAGAACAAAAAACAUUGAUGAAAAAACAGUCCAGCUGCACUGGAGGCCUCGGCGGUGAACUCUCCCCAGAUCUGGCUCUGUAGCAGGAGUACAGUGGGAGGCCUCACCCAAGGCUCCUCUGAAUUAGUGUUCCAGGUACGAGGUCCAGGAAUCUGUUUUCUCAAAAGCUCCAUACGUGAUUCUGAUGUGGCCAGUCCAGAACUCUGCCCAAACUUGUGUUUGGAAAUCACUGAGCUAGAUGUUCUCCUGAUAUUUGUGUCUGUCAGCCUUCUAGCAGGAAACAAAAAACACAUUCAGUUGGAUAAAUUGAGAGUUUACAAUGGGAUGAUUUAUGAACGUGUGGUCAGGCUAUUGGGAAACCCCAGAGGAUGGUGCAGAGCUCCGAGGCUGGUCAAGGAAGUAACCAUCAACAUCUCCAAGCCUGAAGGAGUGACAGGAGCAGGGAGGCAGGGACCUGGAGUCAGAGAGGGCUGGGUAGAGAGGGCUCUGGACAGGAGCUGUGACCUUCAGUUCUGGGAAGCAGUCAGCUGGCUUGAGCCCAAUCCAAGGGCCAGAAGUCCACUGACGUCAACCACAGAGGCCAGCCUCCAGGGCACAAGGACGGAUGGAGAAAAAGAUGGACGGUGAAAUUGGACAGGCAAAUAAAGAUGUUCAGCUCAAGGCUCAAUCUAUGAAAAUAGGAAUAUAUGCAAAUAUAGUACCCAAAUUAAUCUAAAGCCAUAUUCCUAAUACUUCAUGGCAAAACUGUUUUCAUGAGCCAUCUAACUCUUAGCCUCUUGCUAACUUUUCCUGGUACCCCAGAGAUAACAAAACGGUAGGUAUUUGUUCUUCUUCUUGUUUUUCUUUUGAUAGCAGGUAAUAUUUAUUGAGUAAUCAUUAUGUUUCAUAUAUUGUGAUCAUUUUAAUUUAUAAAAUAAGACUUUGAGUAGAAAUUGUCAUUUUCCUGAAAAGGAAAUUAAUGCACAGAGAGGUUAAAAACUUUACCUUGGGUCACACAGUCUAUAAGCCUAAAGCCAAGCUUCAGGGUCAGAUUUGUCUUAUAUCAACGCCCAUGCUGUUAACCCUUAUGUGAUUUUGUGAAGCCUCUCCAAGAAAACGCAAGGCACAGUCUCCCUCAGUGACUUGGAAGGUUAUUCUCUAGACCUUUUGUCAAGAACAAGAAACCACAAUUUCUUGUAUUUUUUAAAUACAGUCUCAUAUUCAUUCAGUACUUAACCAAUUUUUGUGUUUGAUAAAUAUUAUAUAUCUCCACAUUCAUACUCAGGAAGCAACGUGGGCCUUGUGGAUUGGCCAUUUACUAGCUUAUGCAUUCAUGGUUCCAGGCUGAAGCACUGGGUUGGUACCUUAUCUCUGUGCUCUGCUGGUACUUCUGUGUUCAGAACACAACUAGCUUGACCAACCAUCCCAGUGUGUCCCAACUGAGGGGUUUCCUAGGCCAUGGGACUUUCAGUGUGAAAACCGGAACAGCCCCAGGAAAAAAAGCAGGAUGGUUGGUAAAUGCCGGUUUGUUUGCUUGCUUGCUUGUUUGUUUUCAAGAUAGUUUCAGCUUUGUAAUCGAGAGCCUCACAACAAAUUCUAAAAACACAUUUAAAAACAUUUUAAAAGUCCAAUUUUCUUCACAUUUCCCCCCCCGUUUAGGCCUUGGUUAGAUCUGUUCCUGCAGUACUCAAGGUCUAGUCUCUGGUCCUUAUUUAAGACAAAUAGGCUGAGGCACAGAAGUCACAGGAUAGCACAGUGGACAGAGAACUCAAAGAAGGUUCAGCCCAGGCAAGUUAUCUGGGCGGCCAAAGACGGGAUGGCAAGUGAUGAAGGAUGUGGCUCGUCCUCAGUACAGCCCAGAUCUUCAUCCGCAAGGUCAGUCCUAGGCAUGUGGUACUUGCCUCCAAACACAGAGCUUAUUACACGAUGUUGUCAUUGCUUGUUUAUUACUUGUCUCCCUUGGUAGACAAAGAUCAUUGAGGACAAGGAUUUCAGCCAUCUCGGGAUUUAAACUGGGCCCUUUCCAUGGCUGCAGCCCAAUGAGUUGUUGGGUAAUAUCCGGGACACAAGGGAGGUGCAUUUACCCAAGAUUUGUUUCUGCAUUUUCUCUACUCAUUGUAGAACUUGGCUCAGGUAUCACCUUUGAAACAUGUAAGACACUGGAGGAAGGGAUGGGGAAGCAUGGUGCCUCACGUUGUAGGAGAAUUUUCUGCUAAGGAAGUUUCCAGUCUCAUUCCCCAAAGAUUGCUGUGUCUCGGGAGACUCUGCCCACUCCCUUCCAGCUCCACAAGAGUCAGGGUACAAAGAUAAAGACAGCCCAGGGUCCCUAGAUUAGCUGGCUUUCUGACUCUCACAUUGGUCUUCACCCUUCCUUAUUUUCUGGGGGGGGGUGCCAGACCAAUGAAAAAAACGUUUCUUUUUAAGGAGGCAAAGAUUUGGUUCAAGUAAGUGACUGAGGCUUCUGUAGAAAACCUUGCAGGAAUCCAACCGUCCUGUGUGGUAUUAUUAAAGGUAGCGAGAGAGAUGUUGAGGAAGGAAGUAAUUCUUACAAAGCAAUUAUUUUGUGCCAGGAACAGCGCUAGUGUUUUAUAUGUCCAAAUGAGUUUAUUCUAUGCCAAGCUAUUAUGCGAUUCAUUAUCGUUUCUAUUUACAAGUACGGCUUAUCCAAAGUCGUGUAACUAGCGAGAGGCAGAGGUAAGAUCUGAAACCACGUCUAUUAACCUCAAAAAACUCCAUCCUUGUUUGCUAACACACAGUUGUGAAGCAUCACCGCUGCCUCCUGGUGGCCCUGAAAGUCUCUGGACCGGCUCCUUGGGCAACCAGGUUUCUUCCAGUGUCCGAUGUUACCCAGGUAGUCAGCAUGACCAAGAAAUGUUGAGUAUUUCCAGAGGAAGCCUACAAGAUGCAUGGAGCUAAUAGGAGGUGAGGGAACCUCUGUAAGAGGAGGACCUGAAGAGUAGCCAAACCCCUGGCUUUGGGACUUCCUUAUAUUAGCAGGGGGAAGAAAUCCCAUUUAUAAGUGCUAAUGAAGUCUCUGGUUCAAUUUCACAAGUAUCAAUUAUUCACAGAGAAUUAGCAACUGCUGAGGAUCUCCCCACCCUGUUCAGCCAACAGCUGGCAUUCAGCCGUGCCCAACCUUGGUGUUUGGGUUUAGUCUUUUGAAGAUCAGUGCCCUCUGGAGGUUGAAGUUAGAGAAGCAAAUGCAAGAGAGAAAAAGGACCCUCAAAACCUUUUCUGCUUCUGCUCCCUAAGUCCCUUCCUUGAGGUACAUUAAAACAUAGGCUGGGGAGUUUGGAGGAAAAAAUUAUUUUUCUAGUGUGACCCGAGUGUGAAAUACCAUGACACCACUCUACUGGGUUAGUCAUGAGGAAAUCAGGAGGUUCCUCAAGUCCAAGCCCCAGGUGCUGGUUUGUUCCCCGUGCUGGCUCUUCCCACAUGCUCUAUCCUAUUGGACUGGCUAAUGAGGCCUGGGAAGUAAGCCACCAGCAAAGCAGAUUCCCAGUGAAAAAAGCAGUACCACUACGCAUUGAAGGACUCAGUGCCAAUGUCGGGGUUUUCUUUGUUGAGAAACAAGAAAGUUCGGCGUGCAGAUUUGGAUUAACAUCAUGACUCCAUUCCUGCCUGGCCGUCCCAAGGCAGUGGUGACAGGGGCUGGGGAGAAACCAGCUUAACAUUUGUGAGCACCAACUGUGUGCCAAGCCCUACUUUAACUCAUUGAUUUCCUGAAGAGGAAGAGUGCUGUCCUUUGGUUCUUUAAAUUCCUUGGUGAAUUUAUUUCUGAAGGACUAACUUGUCCCUUCAAUAGGAUGGCCCACAGCAGACGAGCUGCUUCAGGUGAGAGCGUGCAGCAAGGAAAGGAUGUGGUAGCACAGUCCCAACAGGGUGAUCUUGUGCCUGUGGUUAGGGUGGAGGGGCAUGGGAGGGACUCCCAGUCUCUAAGCCUCCUCCUUUUUGCUCCCGGCAAGAGUGAUUUAGGAAGGUCAGACUUACCAAUCAGGUCUAGGAUGCCUCUGCGACUAGUCCGGCCCUGACUUGAACGCCCAUGUGGAUAGCUGGGCUUUGAUUGUGCUCCUUGGUCUCAGAUCUGUGCCUUCUUCUGUGGCUGAGGCCUUGACUUGGUAACUGAGGCAGAUGGUUGGUGUCCCCACCCAUGUUCUCCCACCUUAUACCAUUUCUGAGUUCACUGGUUCAAUUUGUAACCACCAGCACCUGCAUCCACUGGCCUGCUGGCCUUCUUUAGAGGGAGGGAUCCGCUCUGGCUACAUGCAUACCAAGCCAGAAGUGCCGGAAGUGAGCUGAUGUCCACCUCUCUGGUAGUCUUUGACCAAUAACUAUAGGAAAUCCAAUGUAUCAUCUACAGAAUGUAAAGACAAUGUGAAACCCAGCACAUCUGGGAGAUCAUAUUCAGAGGCAAUGCUUAAAAAGUUUAUUCCUUGAUGGCGCCUGGGUGGCUCAGCCGGUUAAGUGUCUGACUCUUGACUUCAGCUCAGGUCAUGAUCUCACAGUUCAUGGGUCCAAGCCCCACAUCAGGCUCUGUGCUGACAGCAGGGAGCCUGCUUCUCUGCCCCUUCCCCACUUGCUCUCUAUCUCUCUCUCAAAAUAAAUAAAAAUAAACUAAAAAAAAAUGGUUUAUUCCUUUAGAAUGCCCAUGAGUGUCUUAAAGGCAAAGAUUGGCCCUUAACUAGUACUGAAAAUCCAAUGCCAAUUUCAGGUAAUAGUUCUCUAAAAAUCGCUGCUGUGGUGUUGGGCAAAAUAGUAUAGCAUUGAUUGGAAUCUAGUAUUGAGUGUGUGUAACAGACUGUGGUUUCUUCCAUUCAAUCCUAGUAAUUCAGAAUUGGUUUUGUAUUAGUUAUCACCCUCUGCGUAACAAAUUACCCCAAGCCUGGUGGCUUCAAACCAUAAUAAUUUAUUACCUCUCACAGUGUGGGUCAGGAACAUGGGAGUGACUUCUCUGAGUGGUGGCUCAGGGUCUCUCGUUAGGUUGUAGUUAGACAUUGCUGAGGGUGCAGUCAUUGGAGGGCUUGACUGGGGCCGCGGAUCCACUUCCUAGGCUGCUCAUUGACAUGCCUGCCUAUAGGUGAGAUGUUGUAGGUGUUCUUCAUGUGAGCCUCUCUGGAGAGCUGCUUGAGAAUUCUUAUGGCAUGGUGGCUUACUUACCCCAGAGGGAGUAAUCUAAGAGGCCAAGGUAGGAGCUGCCGUGUCUUUUCUGACCUAGCCUCUGAAAUGACAUAUUGUCAUUUCUGCUCUACUCCAUUGACCACACAAAUCACUACUGAUUCAGCGAGGAGGGGGGCUACAUAAGGGCGUGGAUAGCAGGAUGCGAGGAUCGUUAGAGAUCUGGAAGCUGGUCAGCGUGGGUUUCUAGGGUAAAGUUCAUUCUACACGGUGUUUGAGGUGAGGACCAUGUGGAACAACAACAGAUUCACGUUCCACUGGAAAGUGCCUGUGGACUGGACAGCCAGAAACAUUUAAAAUGUUUUUUCUUACUUUAUAAUCUCCCGUAAUGCUACCUAUGACAACAGAUCAUGAUCUGUAAGCUGUUUUGUUAAAUAUCCUACAGCCUCCAGUAAAGCUUUGCCUAACAUGGAGGCAGAAACUCCUCAGAAAUGUAUAUACUGAGUCACACUUGAGCAAAACAGAGAGUUUGGCUUUUGACGGGGAAGUGUCACCUCUCAGAUGCCUUCCCUUUUAAAACCGCCUUAAAGCCCUAACCUCCAUGAAUUCGCAGAGAUGUAAGUCAGAACCUUGAGCCCAAGAGUCAGGCUAGGGCAUGGUCUGGGUAUUGCUACCUGUAGACAUUUUCUGGGCCAGGAUAUGGCUGCACAGUGGAGCCCUUUGUUAUGCUCUGGGCAGAUGGAGUCCACUGGCCUGAUUGCUUCAGGGCUCAUUUCCUGAACGGGAAGGUUCUACCACCUGGUGGAUGGAUCGCUCCAAAACAAACAGGCGUCACGCUCCAAACCUUGAGCCCUGUGCUGAGCCCUGAAAGCUGGGGAACAGAGACGAACCAGGGAUACAUCAUCAGUGGUAUCAAAUACCACUGCUCCGAGAAGUUUUUACAUGAGUUCACUUCCUGCUACCAGAGGUCAAGUUCCCUCCGCAGGAAUGAAGGAAAAACAAAGCAAAGCAAAGCAAAACAAAACACCCCCAAACCUAAGGAGACCGCGUGGAAAGGAGCCAGGUAAAGUGACAUGGCAGCAAUAGUCAGGCUUAGCUUGUUUCUCAGUCGUGGACGUAGCCUGAAAACCCUACUCUUAUCUUAUGAGAAGUAGUCCAGUUAGCCAUUUAAACAUUCAGUGCUAUGGUACGUCUGCUUCGUGUUUUGCCGGUGAAAUAUAUUCCCUUUUAGCUUUUCCACAGUAACUUUCUGAGGUUGGUGUUAUUUGCCUCUGGCUCCUCUAACUAAAAUGGCCAACCCUCCCUCUUUCCUUCUCCUGCUUUAUUCAUUUUUUCAUAGAGCUUAUUACUAUCUGGCAUUAUAUCCCGUGUCCAUGUGUUUAUUUCUGAUUAUCGAUUUGCCUAUCUAAAGGUAAAAGGUCCACAAGAACAAGGAUUUGGUCUGUUUUGCUCUUAGCCGCAUUCCCAGAGCCUCGUCAAUGCUUCAUGAAUACUUGCUGAAAAAUAACUUUUUCAUUGAGUCAGCUAUGCAAGGUUAAAUGACAUUCUGCAGGCCCUUUGUGUCCAAAGUUGAUGCACUUUUUCCCUCCCGUGUUGUGCUGCCUCUCUCUUUUCUGUAUCCGGAGGCCAGAUUUUAGGAAACUGGGGCCACAAAGUUGCAAAGCUGAAUAAUGGAAGAGCUCACACUAGAACCCACCUCUUCUGGGGAUUUCAUUGCUCAGCCUUGAUUUUUGCUNCUCAUUGACAUGCCUGCCUAUAGGUGAGAUGUUGUAGGUGUUCUUCAUGUGAGCCUCUCUGGAGAGCUGCUUGAGAAUUCUUAUGGCAUGGUGGCUUACUUACCCCAGAGGGAGUAAUCUAAGAGGCCAAGGUAGGAGCUGCCGUGUCUUUUCUGACCUAGCCUCUGAAAUGACAUAUUGUCAUUUCUGCUCUACUCCAUUGACCACACAAAUCACUACUGAUUCAGCGAGGAGGGGGGCUACAUAAGGGCGUGGAUAGCAGGAUGCGAGGAUCGUUAGAGAUCUGGAAGCUGGUCAGCGUGGGUUUCUAGGGUAAAGUUCAUUCUACACGGUGUUUGAGGUGAGGACCAUGUGGAACAACAACAGAUUCACGUUCCACUGGAAAGUGCCUGUGGACUGGACAGCCAGAAACAUUUAAAAUGUUUUUUCUUACUUUAUAAUCUCCCGUAAUGCUACCUAUGACAACAGAUCAUGAUCUGUAAGCUGUUUUGUUAAAUAUCCUACAGCCUCCAGUAAAGCUUUGCCUAACAUGGAGGCAGAAACUCCUCAGAAAUGUAUAUACUGAGUCACACUUGAGCAAAACAGAGAGUUUGGCUUUUGACGGGGAAGUGUCACCUCUCAGAUGCCUUCCCUUUUAAAACCGCCUUAAAGCCCUAACCUCCAUGAAUUCGCAGAGAUGUAAGUCAGAACCUUGAGCCCAAGAGUCAGGCUAGGGCAUGGUCUGGGUAUUGCUACCUGUAGACAUUUUCUGGGCCAGGAUAUGGCUGCACAGUGGAGCCCUUUGUUAUGCUCUGGGCAGAUGGAGUCCACUGGCCUGAUUGCUUCAGGGCUCAUUUCCUGAACGGGAAGGUUCUACCACCUGGUGGAUGGAUCGCUCCAAAACAAACAGGCGUCACGCUCCAAACCUUGAGCCCUGUGCUGAGCCCUGAAAGCUGGGGAACAGAGACGAACCAGGGAUACAUCAUCAGUGGUAUCAAAUACCACUGCUCCGAGAAGUUUUUACAUGAGUUCACUUCCUGCUACCAGAGGUCAAGUUCCCUCCGCAGGAAUGAAGGAAAAACAAAGCAAAGCAAAGCAAAACAAAACACCCCCAAACCUAAGGAGACCGCGUGGAAAGGAGCCAGGUAAAGUGACAUGGCAGCAAUAGUCAGGCUUAGCUUGUUUCUCAGUCGUGGACGUAGCCUGAAAACCCUACUCUUAUCUUAUGAGAAGUAGUCCAGUUAGCCAUUUAAACAUUCAGUGCUAUGGUACGUCUGCUUCGUGUUUUGCCGGUGAAAUAUAUUCCCUUUUAGCUUUUCCACAGUAACUUUCUGAGGUUGGUGUUAUUUGCCUCUGGCUCCUCUAACUAAAAUGGCCAACCCUCCCUCUUUCCUUCUCCUGCUUUAUUCAUUUUUUCAUAGAGCUUAUUACUAUCUGGCAUUAUAUCCCGUGUCCAUGUGUUUAUUUCUGAUUAUCGAUUUGCCUAUCUAAAGGUAAAAGGUCCACAAGAACAAGGAUUUGGUCUGUUUUGCUCUUAGCCGCAUUCCCAGAGCCUCGUCAAUGCUUCAUGAAUACUUGCUGAAAAAUAACUUUUUCAUUGAGUCAGCUAUGCAAGGUUAAAUGACAUUCUGCAGGCCCUUUGUGUCCAAAGUUGAUGCACUUUUUCCCUCCCGUGUUGUGCUGCCUCUCUCUUUUCUGUAUCCGGAGGCCAGAUUUUAGGAAACUGGGGCCACAAAGUUGCAAAGCUGAAUAAUGGAAGAGCUCACACUAGAACCCACCUCUUCUGGGGAUUUCAUUGCUCAGCCUUGAUUUUUGCUGCCAUGGACAAGCUAAGGAUUUUGCUUCAGUUUAUGAAGUGAAUAUACUGAGGUUAGAAACGGUCCCCUUGCUUUUCCCACUGUGGCCGAUUUGCUUCUUGGUUGGUUCGUGGGUGUCUACAUGCCCUUAGGGUAUGACUCAGCAUUGUCACAAUCCACCCCUGUGCCACCUCUGUGGUAAACGUGGCACAUAAGGAAAGAGCUUGAAAGCAGUUACACACGGCUACUCAAACAUCUCCAUCUAGAAACCAUCUAGGUUUCUACAUGGGAAGAGCUUACGUCUACAGCUCUAGGCAAAACAUCUGAACCAGUACUGGGAUGAAGUCCUGUGGACGUUCAGAAUACAUCUCACUUGUCUUAUUUGUGUGUUUUCAGGGUCAUUUGACAAUCCUUUAUCCAUCUUUGGCUUGCCCCAGGUCUUCUUCUUUGCCCACCACCUGGAUUUCUUCUUUGCCUGUCUGCCUUGGUCUCUCCGGAGAGCCCAAAGUAGCUGUCAGGAUUGAAAACACCCAGUGAACACCCAAGAGCUUUGGUUGCCAAGUUGCGGAAGCCGCAGCAAUCACUCCCUUAUGGCCAUUUGCUCAUGGAGCCAAGAACAACCAAAAACAUCAGCUGGGAGUCGACCCUCACAAGCAAACAGAUUGGUCCAGCUUAUAGCUCAGAAAAGGCUUGCUGGGGGAGUCUGUUUCUUUUGAGAAGAAACACAUGUUUAUACCCAAACGAUGCAGUUCAGCGUGUUCCUCUUGGAAGGAUGCUGGAACCCAUGGGCCUUUAGCACUCCUUUGGUGGAUUUGUUACACUGGGCUCACCUUGCCCAACACUGCUGGGGUGAACUGCCUUUCUAAGUUCUCCCUCUGCUCUGUGCCUUAGGGGUCCACGAAAACAGCACCGCCUGGUCAACUACUAGAGAAAGAACUGCACCAAUUAGGCAGAAAAUAAAUGAGGGAGUUUUUUGUCCCCAGAUUACAUAGCAUCAAGAGUAAAUUUUCCCAAUAACUUGUCACAUUUCCAUAUUAUUUUUUUCCCGUGGGAAAGAGAGCAUAAAGGGAGAAGAAUCAAUGGAAAGAACUCAUGGGUCUUGGAAUGUGGGUUCAAAGCCCAGAUCUGCUAUUUACUGACUUUGUGCCCUUGAGUGAGGUAGACUGUUGCAGAAUCCCAGAGAGGUUAAGUAAUUGGGCCCAAACCAUGACACUAUUGAAUGGCAGGGUUGGAACUGGAGCCUGGAUUUUUUGAGAUUUGUUUAUACACCAUAUAUAAAAUGAGAUAUUAUAUUAAAACUUAAUAAGUGCUAGGUUUAUCAUUACUAUUUUUGUCAAACGCUCACUGAUUAUGUUAUAAAUACAGAGUUAGGUGAUUGGGAUACGAAGAAAAUAGGAAAUAAACCCUGACAUUGAGGGACUGUCAGAGACUGAGAAUCUCUUAGGGAUCUUGUGUUCUUUGGCACAUAAAACUUGCCUUCCUAAAAUAGAAAUAAUGUUCUCAUUAAAAAAAAAAAAGACAUUAAAAUAAUGUAAUUAGUAUUUCACUUGGUGAAGGAGAAAGUAUAAUGGAGGCUACCCCCAAAGCAUUGUGCAGAUCAAAUGAAAUAAUAUCUGAAAGAGGAGGUUGAAAAAUAAAAAGCAUGCUUUAGCUAUAAAGCAUUGUUGUUCUUGUCUAUUAUUGUUAAAUACCACUGCUGCAUCUAAGGUGCUGCAAUCCUUACAGAGAGGAGACUGAUAGAUGGUGCCCUCUAGAAGACAGGGUGUAAGAGGUGUUGAAUAAGGGAUAGAACAAGAAGAACCAUAACGAGUUCAGAGAAAGACCCAGCAUAUUAAUGUUUACAGAUUGUCUGAAACUCAGAGGUUCCUAGACUAAAACAAAGCACCUUGGAGACAAUUCAUCCUCGUGGUAUUUGAAGUGUAGACCUAAAGUAUUUGAAAGGUUCUUAAGUCAUCCAGUUUAUCUUGGAAGGGUGAGGUUGGGUACCAAGGGUACAUGUAAGUUUUAUCUUUACAGAGAGGAAAUAAAAGUCUCCUGUUUUGCCCAGAGUCAGACAGUAAGUUUGAGGUAGAGACCAAACAUCUCCAAGUUUGGUUAAUGGGAGUGGAAAGAAACAAGGGUUUAGAACCAAUCCCUCCCUUUACUAGUGAUGAGACUACAGACAAGUUACACUGAACCUUUUAGAGCAUCACUUUUUUUCCCCCAUCUGUAAAAGAAGGGAAAAGAACAAAGCAUCAAUUGCAUCACUUGAGUUGGUUUGGGGGAAAGUGAAAUAGGACAGGCAGGGAUACAUCUGGUACAGAACUGUGUGUCUUUCUAUCAUCUCCGUCAGUUGUGGUCAUGAAUUUAACCCCUUCUUUUCCCAGCUAAGGUAAUAAAUAGCUCACGUGUUACAGGCCAGAAGGAAAGGAGGUUGUAUUUCCCUCUUAACCGGAAUAAAAGUGUAACAGAGCUUGUGGGCUUUAUGUAUUCUCAGUAACUGUCACAGUGCCUAGAACUUAGAAGGUGCUCCAAAAAUAUUUAUGGAGCUGGAACUGUCACCAGGUUGUUAAUAAAACUGCAAAUUGUCUUUCCACCUGCCCUAUGCCAUUUUUACAUAAGGAGAAUUAUCCAACCAAUAUUAUUUGAGAGAGUUCUGGUUUUGGUUUGGUUAAGUGGUCUCUAUUGAGCCAACCUACAUAAAGAUAAAAACUGAGAACUCUGGACAAAAGAUACUGAAAAAAUUCAAUUACUUGAAGGUACCAAAAAGUGAAUAAAAGCACACAGAUAGUGGAAGAGUAUGACAACAGACAAAGUAGAGGGCACUGGGUAUGUUCUCCUUCUGCCCCUUUUUCUAAUAGCUGUUAGCCUGAGGGAAGAUCCCCGUCUGUGGCUUGUGGGGGUGAGUAAAGCAAGUGGAAAAUCAUAUCUUACUGGCUGGAAGAAGAGAAAACCCUGAAAAAGGAAAGGAACAGAGAAGGAAAGCCCCAAACUCUAGUUUCUAAACUGCCUAAAUCUCUGACUAAUCUCUGAAUCAUGCAUGCACAAGGAAUUGACUUUAAAAAAAAAAAAAAAUCAAUACUCUUCAGAGGAACAUAACAGAAUCCAGAUUCUCUAUAACAUGUUUUUCAUAAUGUCUGCCAUAUAAUCCAAAAUUAGUUGAUAUAUGAAGAAACAGAACAACAUCGUCUACAUAUAAGCAAAACCCCAAAUUAUAACAUUGUCAUGUGGAAUUUAUAAUGUAUGUAGAUGUAACACAUACUAGAACUAUAGUAUAAAUGAUGUGGAUUUCUGUAUUUUACAUGAAGUAGUACAAUAUUAACUUGAAGCUGAGUUUAACACAUUAAGAAUUCAAAUAUAUUGUAAUCUCUACAGCAAACACCAAAACCAUAAUGCAGUAGGUACGACUAGAAAGUCAAUAAAUUACAAUGGAAUUCCAAAUUAUCUUCGUUUGAUUCAGAUAUGAAUCUCACUGCAGAUGUGCAAACCCAUCCCACAGCAGGCUCAGAUUAUAACCAUGGAACCAAAGGGUAGCAAACUCCAGAUGUGAGCCUCCAAAACAGCUCCUCAGUGACCUGACUCCUUCCGGCCUUAAUGAGAACAAGAAGGAAAGAAAUGGAAUUCGGAAGGGACGUCCCAGAUUUAAGGAUGUGAGCAAAACUGAGGACACAUAAACAAAAAUGGGCGGAGUCACUAGAGUGGAAGGUGGGGAACGUGUAAGAAGCUCAGGGUGCUGGUGCUAUAAGCCUGAUCUCCGCAGCUGGUUGCCUUACCACUGAGAGAAGUCUGGUGAGGCUUUGGGAAGUGAGUGCCAGUCACAGCCAACCACAGCCAGCCACUCUGGACUAAUUUGGGCAAGCAAAUGGCCAAGCAUGUUGCUAACUACAUUUCUAAGAUACUGCUAGAAGAAGGAAAAGAGCAAAACCACCUUCCUGACCCUCUUCAACCUCGUGUUUUUGCACCUGUGUCGGUGUGUUGCAAAGCAGGGGGCAUUGCACAACUUAUUUGCCACCAAUCCCUCAGUUUGUUCACGGACCACACACUUCAUUAGCAUACGAUUUCCAAGUCAGUGGUGGUGGUUUCACAAUCAACAGCUGUGAGGGAAGGAAGGUGCCUGAGAAGCUCACACUAAGACAUUCCCAAAUUCCACAUUACUUUUGUCGAAACAAGUAAUUGCAAUGACUGAAGCAAUGUGGGGGAGACAAAUGACACUGGGAACUUCAAACCAUGUAUGAACAUAUUGGAAACUCCUUUGUGUAGUUUUCUAGAAUGUACGUGUCUGAUUCUGUCCUGACGGUAACCAAGUCUUGCCCUGGGGCCAAUUCAGCAUCCGUUAAGAGGAGGAAUUGCUAGGUGGAGGGAGAACAUAGCCCUUUCCAAAAAAGAAUUAUGACUUGAGAGAGAAUUCCUUAUUGGAGCCGGUGGGAGUGGGUGGAGAGGGCUAAGAUACAUAAUAAAAUAAGAAUGUGGAUAGAGAACAAACUGGUGGUUGUCAGAGAGGAGGGGUGAUGGAGAGACGGGUGAAAUAGGUGAAGGAAAUGAAGGGAUACAAACUUCCCAUUGUAAAAUAAAUGUCAUGGGGAUUAAAAGCAGAGCAUAAGGGAAUAUAGUCAAUAAUACUGUUUAUAUGGUGACUACAUUUAUCAUAGUGGGCAUUUUGUAAUGUAUAUAAUUGUCAGAUCACUACAUUGGAUACCUGAAACUAAUAUAAUAUUAUGUCAACUAUACGUCAAUGUAAAAAAAAAAUAAACACACUAUGCUGGAAGUUUCUACUAAAAAAGUGACAGUGUGGGCCUUCAGAUUUUCAAGGAGGAUACAAGAGGUAAAAUACUGGCUGGCUACAUGGGCUAUUGUGUUUUUGGGUUCUAUAAAGAACUAGCCUGGGUCUGGAAGCCCCAGGUGGGAGAUGCUGUUGAGACCGUGCAAGGGAGCAGGAGCACUAGCCUAAGGUCAGGUGAGGGAGGCACAAAAUUUGAAGGAGUGCCAAAAAAACCUCAAGAAUCAAGCAAUCAAGAAUUAUUUUUUUAACCAAAGAUAGAAAUUUUAACACAAUACUUAAUCAAGUUUCAUGAAAAACAAUCCACGAGGAACAAAAUAUCAAAAAUGUUACAUAAAAGCAAGCUGUUGCUCUUUGUCUGUAUCAUGACCCCGAGUUCCUCGGCUGCAGCCACGGUUGUUUCCAAUCAGCCCUUGGUUCCUGGGUCUGCGCUGCUGAUGCACCCCCCCCCCCCCCCGCCCCGCCCAAGUGGGUAUAUGAUGGUUGAUAAUGAUGGGCAAACAAAUAGGGCAUCACACGACUUUAUGUAUAGAUAGUUUUUUUAGUUGUAGAACUUUCACCAAUGUUUCCACUUGGUUCAAAGUCUGGGAGGAUAUCUUGGUUGGUGUCCGUAGGUGGGCACAUCAUUCCUUUGUCGCUGGUUCCAACAGGGCUCAGCCUGUCAUGCCGCAGAGAAGGAUGUGCUGUGAAUGCCGCAGAGGAGGGAAUAGCCAAGCACACUGUUACUGAAAGCUUGCUACACAGAGGGACUUUUGAGAAUUCAGGGUGAGUUGAUUUACAACUGACGGUCUGGGGAAUCGUUGGCUGCAAAUCCAUAGAAUGAGGACCCAGCACAAAAGAAACAGGGGACUCUGUGUGAUCAUGGAGCCCAGACGGUAGAAAGAGAGCCUUGGCUGCUGAGUCAGCCACUAAGCCUAGUCCUGCCACUGACUUCCCAUGUGAUUGCCUGCAUCAAACCCUUCCUGAGCCUCAGUUUCUACACCAGCAAGAUGAAGUGGUUCUCAUACCUGUUUUUGCUGGGAGCCCUUUCUCCAAAUAAACCUUAUGUGGCAGCUACAGGCAGAAGUAGAACUGAUCUGGUUGAACUUGGGGUGUGAACACCCUCACCUGUUCAACGUUUCCUGGUCCCCCACAGGGGCCUUUAUGGAAACCUCCUCCAUCAUCUCAGGGCUCUCCAAGCUGUGUUCGGGAAACACUGAUGCCAACUCUAGUUCUAACAUUCUACUCUAGCCCAGAAGGAAGCUCUGCCUGUUAUUUGCAUGGUGACAAUCUGACAGUGAAAUGUUUACCCAUUUUAAGAAACCGGAGGAGUCUCCAGCCUUUGGAUUGCGCUUAUGGGUGUGUCCUGUUCUGUUUCUGGGUUCUUCUGGCCUACAGGGCCCACGGAAGUAGCAGAAGCAUCAAGAGGAGUUAGUUAGCCUUGCUAUGGCCAGUACAAUUAUACAGUGGAGUGGGGCACUCUGCCAGGAUUUUAACAUGAAGCAGGCACCCCUGGGAACACUGACAAAUGACCAAGGGUUGUCUACACGUGGCCAGGAGCCAGCAGCAGCCAGCUGGGCCUUACUUCCUGCUGACUGUCAUAGUUCCAGACCUCUGAAUGUUCCAGAACUGAGAGUGAAUGAAUUCCAGUGGUAUUCAAAACAACAACAAGGUCUUUGUUGUCUUUCUUGAGAUUGCUAUCCUCUUGAUGAUGUUGGCUGUUAUUGAUCUUUCAAGGAUGUAACAGCCUACUCUUAAAACACAGGUGGCAAGGAAGCCACGGGAGCUAUAGAAAGGGAAGGAACUCCAAGCUCCGACCGAUCCAAGUUGGAACCCCACUGCCACCUCUUUACUAGUUGUAUGAUCUUGGUCUGGUUAUUGUUGUUGUUGUUGUUGUUGUUGUUGUUGUUGUUUUAACUUGUCUGAGCUUCAAAUUUCUUAGCUGUACAACGGAAAUGAAGCGUCAGAUAAAGCUGUAUUGAGCUCUAUACAUGGAAUUACAGGAAUAAAAUGUUGUUAGCAGGAAUUAGCCAGUGCUCAGUAAAUGUUCCCUUCCUUCCCCCGCCCCCCACUCUUUUCUGCAACUCUCAUCUCCUUAAAGAAAUAGGUCAAGAAAAGUUUUAUGUUUGUCAGCUCUGAGAGCUCUUGCGUGAGAUUAUGCUGAUUAUUUUUUUUCUUUUCCUAUUUUCCAUGUUUUCUAUAGUAAAUGUGUGUCAGGAGGCUUGAAGUAGCCCAGGAUCUAAACAAAUGCGAGGGUUGAGAGCAGAAUGGGAUUUGCAUCCUUGACAAAGUGCUAAUUUCUUUAACAUAUAAAGGGCUCCUAGGAAUUAAUAAAAGGAAGACCAACAACCCAAUAGAAUUCUGAGUAAAGGAGAUGAAUUGGCAGUUCAGAGAAUAGGAAAUGGAAAGGACUCUUAAACAUGUAAAAUAAUGCUUAUCAUCAUUCUGAGUAAGACCAAUAUAAAUUCAAAUUACACAAAGAUACCAUUUUUUCACCAAUCGGACUUGUAAAAAUACAAGUUUGAAAAUAUGUUCUGUUGGCAGGAUUCUACAAAGGGCAAUCUAAUACGUUUAUGUGUAUCACAGAUACGUCCAUGCCUGUGAAUUCAUUUGGAAAGAUCUCCAAGAUAUACACAACAAAGGUAAGCUAUGUAUAGUAGACUAUGAAAAAUAACCUACCUUUUAUGUAAAAGGGAGACAAAAAGGAAAACCUAUAUUUAUAUUAUUUGCCUGAUAUGCAACAAAAUCUGGAAAGAUAUGCUAAGAAAAGUGGUGGGAACUGGGCAGAUGACAGGGGUGGAAAGAAGACUUCACUACAUAUCUUUCAUUUAUUAUUAUUACUUUUGAGAGAGAGAGAGAGAGAGAGAGAGAGAACGAGCAGGAGAGAGGGAGAGAGAGAGAGAGAAAGGGAAUCUUAAGCAGGCUCCAAGCUGAGUGGGACCUGAUCUCAUUACCCUGAGAUCAUGGCCUGAGUGGAAAUCAAGACACUCAACUGACAGAGCCACCCAGAUUCCGUUUCACUGCAUUUAUUUUUAUAUUCUGUGAAUUUUUAAUUUUUGAAUGUAGCCCCAACUUUAAAAAAAUCUUUUCGAUAAACAAGUAUGUUAAAAAAAAAAGAAGAUGGAUGGGGCGCCUGGGUGGUUCAGUCAGUUAAGUGUCUGACUCUUGAUUUUGGCUCAGGUCAUGAUCUCAUAGUAGUGAGAUCGAGCCCCAUGUCUGGUUUUGAGCUGAGUGUGGAGCCUGCUUGAGAUUCUUUCUCUCUCUCUCUCUGUCUCUGCCUCUCUCUCCCUCUCCCCUUUCUCCCCCAUCUCUUUCAAAAUAAAAAGAGAAGGUGGCUAAUUUGUAUAGGCAAUCAAUAUUGACUGACAUAGCAUGUAUUAAUUUCUAAUCAGAUAAAAAACAAUUAAAAAAAUAAAGACAACCAUCUCCCAACAUAGAGACCUUUAUUCCUGACACACAGUAGGUAGAACAGUCUUCUACUUUGCUACAGUUUUGACUCUGCUGGAGAGUUUACCAAUACUUUACCAAAGCCAAAUUCCAUCAGUGCAUUACUUUUGUAACUUUUUCUUAAUCUAUGCCCUUUAUAUAACAUAGCAUCUACCUGUGAAGGCCUGUUUAUUAUUAUUAAAAAUAAUAGUGCAUCAUAAUUCCAUCACUCAGAAUAGUGGUGGCUUCAGAAUUUUUGUGUAGGAAGAGCUUAAAGGCAAGGAACUGGUUGGAGGUUGACAAUUAGGGAGGUGUGUUAAAGUCUCAUGUACAAAACACAUUUUCUUUAAAUUGAGCCAUGGUGAGACUUUGGAUGGUUCCAUCCCUGGGCAAGUACCUCCCCCCCCCCCACCCCAGUUUUCAAGCUGCCCCAGUUGAUAGCAUGGAGCACAGAGACAAAUUGUCCCAGACAAACCUUGCUCAAAUUACAGAUUUGUAAAGAAAAUAAAUGAUUGCUGUUGUUUUCUGUUACUAAGUUUGCGGUGGUUUGCUACACAGAGCCCAGAUCCCUUUUAUCCAGCCAAUGCAUGCAUCCUCCAGCUGCUGUGAAUGUGGGCUGCUAACUGUUUACAGCUGCUCCCUUCUCCAGAGAACUGCCCUGUUCUGGCUGGAGUCACAAGGGAGGUCACGUCCAGCACCCCCACCCCAGGGGCAGCCUGCAGCCAAUGACUGAUUGGUAAAAAAAAAAAAAAAAAAAAAAAGGUGGUCCCCUUCCCUCAAGGCAGAAUUGAUGCUAUGGUACAAUUCACACUCCAGUGCUUCCUAUUGGGUUAGACUACAGCAAGAUCCCCAGUGAGGCUGCCUCCUUGUCUAGCUACUUUCCCUACCCCAUCCUCUUCUCUCUUUCCCUUUCUCCUGAAAGCUUCAUCAGUGCAUCACAUGGGCUGUAAUCCUUGUCUCAAGCUCUGCAUCUAGGUGUUACCUUAAACAGGCAUUAAGGGAAGUUUUAAGAAGUGUAGGGGAGAAAUCUUUCCAAGCCAUCUCUUGAUGCCUCGCCUUCCCAGAGAUACCUUGGUUAAUAUUUUGGUGUGUGUGAAAUUAUCUAAUACUUGUAGAGCAUGUAGAACGUUCCCUGGCAAAUAGUAAGCACUCAAUUACCGCUAGCCCUUAUUAUCAUAUUCCCCCAGUGCUUUUUCUGUAUUUAAUAAUCAUAUCUAUUUAUUAAGCACAUACCAUGGGUCAGGCACCGUUCUGACGUAUUUCGCGUACAAUUCAAUUAGCCCUCACAGUAGUCCCAUCUAGUGGGUACUAUCGUCUCAAACGAGGCAACUGAGGCUCAGACAGGGUAAGUAACUGAUCCGAGGAUGUACAGCAAAAAACUGGCAGAACUGGAUGAGUUAUAUAAAUGUCUGCAUUAUAUCUUGAUCAUCAUUUCAGUGAUAACCUCUCUGUGGCCAACUGCUUCAGUGUGGGGCUGGAGGCUUUGCUGCUUUAAAGAACUGCAAGCUUUCAUAGUAAUGCACUCCAGCUGUGGCUAUUUCCACCCUGUCCUGGGAACUUCCCUCCUCAUAAUCUCAGAUGAUCUUUCUUCCUGGAAUGGCCUCACCUCUUCUCUCUACUUGUCCCAAUCCUAACCGUCCUUUAAGAGUUACAUCAAAUCUUAUCUUUCCAUGCAGUUUGCCCUGAUUUCUGUUGUACUUGCUCAUCUCUUCUGUAAAGACCUCUUACAACAUUUGCCGGAUGUCCAAGUCGUUUUGGUCCCUGAUAGUGGCCUGACACAUUCCCUUUCAAUAGAGGUUAUGUUUACGGACGGGCCUGUUUCCGGGAGGUGGACUGCAAGCUUUUUAAGGACAGGAUCAAGACUUAGUUGUUUGUUAUUUCUCUAGUAUCUAACGCAGUGCUUGCCACAAAGUAGAAUUCUUAACAAAAAUGUGUUCGUUGGAUAAAUGAAUCAAUAAGCUAUGUUAUGGGUGUGUGUGUGUUUCCUGUGUUUUUGUCUGGAUUGUAAGAUCCCUCAGGCCCAGACCCGCUUUUCAACGUUUAUUUAUUUUUGGGACAGAGAGAGACAGAGCAUGAAUGGGAGAGGGGCAGAGAGAGAGGGAAACACAGAAUCGGAAGCAGGCUCCAGGCUCUGAGCCAUCAGCCCAGAGCCUGACGCGGGGCUCGAACUCACGGAGCGCGAGAUCGUGACCUGGCUGAAGUCGGACGCUUAACCGACUGCGCCACCCAGGCACCCCAAGACCCGCUUUUCAAUGUCUUUUGUGACCUUCGUGUUCAGCAAAUGGUUGGUCCAGGGCAGAAAUUUCAUGAAACUGAACAGGAACUGUCUGGCCCAAAGAAUUGGUCACACUUCGGUCUUGCUCUGGGAAAAGGACGGCUCUCUUUCAAAGGGAAUCAGUCCCAUGUGACAUCCUACGUGGAAUUAGAGGAAUUUUGAAUCUCUGAGUUUGUUGCAUGGCCUGCCCUAUGUGUGCUAUUUCCAUAACUCUGCAUGUGACCAAAUGUCCUUGACUUGACCUUGUGGGAAUGUGUAAACCACGAGCUUCAAAGAGGGAUGUUUGCGGGAGGAGGGGAUCAUGUGACGUGGAACAAUCUUUGUUCGCAAUUCCCUGACUCAGGAGUGAUUUCUGAGAAGUGGCAAGAGGUGACUCUACAGAGAGCCUUGCCGGCCCCUACAAAGACAAGACUUUUUAUGAGGAUGGCACUCUGCCAGCCUGACAGGAAGUAGAAAACAAAGGGGCAGCUGACUCCAGGUCCCAUCCUGACCAGCAACAGCUUUUUAUCGGCUAAUUUUUUAGCAUAAAGCUUCUCCUUCAGGAGUUGAAAGGUGAGCUAAAGGAACGCUGGAAUGUUCCUUUGUACUGGAAGGCCAAAUUCAAUUAUUUCUAUAAAUAAAAACUAAUUGUUAAAAUGCAUCAAAGAGCUUACAAUUCAGUCUCUCAGUGCACACUUUUCGUCGUAAACUAUCUGACUCUCCUCAAGUUUAUCCAUUUUGUAAACACACAUGAUCAAUAUUAGGGUUUGUUCAAAGACACAUGUAUUUAUUUUCAAAGAAUAGGAAAAAAAGCAGUGAGGUACGGGGGGGUUAGGAAAGUUCAUUUUGCCCUGGAGAAUAUUUCAACCUUGCUUUUCAAAUGGGGCGCCCAGAUAGCUUCAUGUUCAACCUCAAGGUCACUGUGUGCACACUGCUUUAAGCCAGAAAAGAUGAUGGCGGCUCCUGGGUUUGGGGUCACGGUUGGGAUAGGGUAGGGAGAAAUUCUGGCCUCCACAGCUGUAGGAAGUGCUUGUUCGCUCUUAAUUUUGUUUACUUAAGAAGAGAAAAAGAAGUCCACGUAUCUCUUUGAAGCCCUGUGGGACUGUUUUCACUGUGAGCACACAGAGAAAGCCCAUGAUUGUUCCUGGAAUGCUGGUCUCACCAUUUAUUGUCCUUGGAUUAAAGCCUGCUUUGCAUUUGGGAUAAAGAUUCAUUCAUUCCUGUGCCAAGAAAUAAAGAAUUCUAUUGUCUUCCUGCCCAAAUUGUUUCAAGACGAUCUUUCUCUCUGAGACCGACAAGCCCAGAUAGCAUCUUGCUUGGCUCCACGAUCUGGUCUCCAAAGGAGAUGUUGUGCCCUUUUUUUUGUCAGAGCUUUCUCACCACAAUACCGUUACACAGAGCAGACCUGUUCCCCUCAGUACCAGGAGGCUCGCUCCGUUCACAAGGAUCCUUGACAACCUCUGCAGAUUGCCAACCCAGACUUACUGUAAUUCUGCACCACAAGAAUGGUUGUGUCACUUCAGUAGACAGAGUGAUGAUGAGCUCUCGGGGGCUGCUAACUCGAUCCACAGGGAAAAAUGAGAGUAGCUUUUUUGCAUGCUGCGGCAUGCUUCAUCCCAGAAUAUUCCUUGAUUAUUCACAAGAAUAAAGGCCAAUUUAAUUAAAAUGAACACAGAAGUGUGAAAAAUAAAGGGCAAAGAAAUUCUAAGUAAGCUGGGUAUCUCUUCAGAGGAAAACCACCCCCGGGAUUGCAGCCUAAACCAAUUCCUUUUUCAUUUCUAACAGAAUGUUCUUAUUCAUUUAGAGGGUUUAAUUCCGAUCGUCGUGACAGUGGGCACGUCGUCACUUCCACAUCUGCCCUCCUAAACCUUCCUCACUCCCCUCAAGCCUUUGCCUGCCAGCAGACCUACUGGCCUCCAACCUGUGAGGGAAGGUUGAGGCUGUCCCCCACCGUGUGCCUCUCUCUUUUCCUCCAGUUUCAGGCAAAGGCAGCCUUUUUCCAGGCUACUGCUGGUCCCUACUCUUGUGCUCUUCAUCCAAAGGUCUCCUCCAGGAGCUUGUCCCAAGUUAUCCCUGCUCUGUAUUGUCAUAUCCUUUUCUCCAUGAACCGGUCCAUUCUCAUAUCCUAUGAAAAUGCUUAAGCCACUCUUAUUUUUUAAAAACAUUCUCUUGGGGGCACCUGGGUGGCUCAGUCAGAUAAGUGUCUGACUCUUGGUUUUAGCUCAAGUCUUGGGAUUGACCCCUACAUUGGGGUCUGCACUGGGCAUGGAGACUGCUUGGGAUUCUCUCUCUGUCUCUUUCUCUCUCUCUCUCUACGCUCCUUCCCCACCUGCACUGUCUUGCUCUCAAAGUAAAUAAAUAAGCCUUAAAAAAAUUCUCUUAGAGCACCUGGGUGGCUCAGUUGGUUAGGCAUCUGACUCUUGACCUCGGCUCAGGUCAUUACUGCAUGAAGCCUGCUUGGGAUUCUCUCUUUCCCUUUCUCUCUGCCUCUCUCUCUCUCUCUUUCUCUCUUUCAAAAUAAAUAAACAAACAAAAAAAAUAAAAACAUUCUUACUCAACCUGUGUCUUUUCCCCCUUCAUCCCAGCUACUUCCCUUUCUCUUCCCUUCCCUUUCCAGAUCACAUCCUACAAAGGAUACUUUAUAUUUGACAUUUUACUUCUAACUACACUUAGCCAUUAUACUUCCCAUGACUGUGGUUUCCUCUUUAGACCUUGAACCUCCCCUACAACAACUUCCCCGUGCCCAGCCCCCAAUUCCAUGCCAGCCCCUUAUUACCAUGCCAGAAUGGAAUAAAUGUUCCUCUGAAUGAAUGAAUGAACUCUUACCAUUUCUAGUUGGAUAAGGGUAACUUACAAAUCUCAAGUAUUGACAACUGAAGAGCUUUUUCCUAGAAGAUAAAUCUGCUAUGAGAAAGGAACUAAAAGUCAUUGGGUUUACCCAAUAUUUUUAAUAAUCAAGAAUUUGAAUUUUCUCUUAUUUAGGGUUUGUGGAGUGUUUACUGAGUAUGAGAUAGCACAGAAACACACCCUGCUGUGAGUCAAAAUUACAAU
rnacentral:lncRNA from 1 species